rnacentral:rRNA from 1 species
CCUACGGGUGGCAGCAGUGAGGAAUAUUGGUCAAUGGGCGCAAGCCUGAACCAGCCAAGUCGCGUGAGGGAUGACGGUCCUAUGGAUUGUAAACCUCUUUUGUCGGGGAGCAAGGCCCGCCACGUGUGGCGGGAAGGAGAGUACCCAAAGAAAAAGCAUCGGCUAACUCCGUGCCAGCAGCCGAGGUAAUACGGAGGAUGCGAGCGUUCACCGGAUUGAUUGGGUUUAAGGGGUGCGUAGGAGGACGGUUAAGUCAGCGGUAAAAGUUCGGUGCUAAACACCGGACGGCAGGUGAAACUGGUCUUCUUGAGUGAGGGAGAGGUAUGCGGAAUGCGUGGUGUAGCGGUGAAAUGCAUAGAUAUCACGAAGAACUCCGAUUGCGAAGGCAGCAUACCGGCGCUCAACUGACGCUGAGGCACGAAAGCGUGGGGAUCGAACAGGAUUAGAUACCCCUGUAGUC